CUGUGGCAGCACAUAUAUGUUAAAAUUGGAAUGAAUGCUAUAGAGAAGAUUAGCGUAGCCCCUGUGCACAGAUAACAUGCAAAUUUGUGAAGCAUUUCAUAUUAAA